rnacentral:pre_miRNA from 1 species
AUGUUGUGUCACUAUUUGACUGUGAGUAUGUUGUGUCACUAAAUAGUGACACAACAUACUCACAGUCAAAUAGUGACACAAC